rnacentral:rRNA from 1 species
CUACGGGCCGCUGCAGUGAGGAAUAUUGCGCAAUGGGGGAAGCCCUGACGCAGCGACGCCGCGUGGAUGAUGAAGGCCUUCGGGUCGUAAAAUCCUGUCAGAUGGGAAGAAGUGUAUGCAGGUUAAUACCCUGUGUAUUUGACGGUACCAUCAAAGGAAGCACCGGCUAACUCCGUGCCAGCAGCCGCGGUAAUACGGAGGGUGCAAGCGUUGUUCGGAAUUACUGGGCGUAAAGCGCGCGUAGGCGGUUUGUUAAGUCAGAUGCGAAAGUCCACGGCUCAACCAUGGAAGUGCAUUUGAACUGGCAGACUUGAGUACUGGAGGGGGUGGUGGAAUUGCCGGUGUAGAGGUGAAAUUCGUAGAUAUCGGGAGGAAUACCGGUGGCGAAGGCGACCACCUGGUCAGAUACUGACGCUGAGGUGCGAAAGCGUGGGGAGCAAACAGGAUUAGAUACCCCGGUAGUC